rnacentral:lncRNA from 1 species
GGCUGUUACAUAUGAGCUGAAGAGAACACAGCAAUUAGGCUGCAGAAUUCCUACAAAUAUAUAGUUCAUCCACUCAAGUUAAAAUAUGAUUAAGGAAGGGAAGUGUUUAAUUAAAAUUUAGUAUGAAGGAGGAAACAGGAGAACAACCAUUUCCAGAGUCACUGCACUUGUGUGUGGAAGCAACCCAGAACUAUCAUGGAAUACUGCAGUUCCACCUGCAGGGAAAAUAC